rnacentral:tRNA from 1 species
UUGACCAAUCGAUAGAGUAGCGGACUUUUAAUCCGUUGGUCGCCAGUUCGAAUCUGGCA